CCCUCCCCUGCCUCCCCUCACGGCCCCCGCACCGCCCGUCCCCAGCGGCUGCCACAGCCGGAGCCCACUCACCCGCUGCCGCCGUGUCGCUGCUGGGGUCGUCGCGCAGCUGCGUCCCGGUGAGGCGGCGGAUGCCGGAGCUGCCCGCCUCCUCCAGGGCUGAGAAGGAGAGGGCGAGGCCCAAAGGUCACCUGCUCCAGUUGCUUCAGAGCAUCGCUUGUCUGGAAAACAGGAGAAAAAACAAGCGAAGAAUCUCCAUGGCAGAACUGGAAGAACAGUUUUGUUCCCUUCUGUUUUCUCAAGAAGACAAUUUUCAAAUUAAAGGGAAAAUUCCAGGUAUUUUCUGGCUAUCAAGGAAUUACAGAAUCAUAGAAUAUCCUGAGUUGGAAGGAACCCACAAGGAGCAUCGAUAUCCAACUCCUGGCUGGCCUUAG
rnacentral:lncRNA from 1 species